GAGGAGGAAGUUGAAAGAUAUGCUAAAGUUUUUAAAGAGCGAUACAAAGAGUUAAAUGAUUAUGAUAGGAUCAUUAAGAAUAUUGAGAGAGGAGAGGCUAGAAUUUCCCGUAAAGAUGAGAUCAUGAAAGCAAUUGGGAAGAAAUUGGAUAGAUACAAGAAUCCAUGGCUUGAAUUGAAGAUCCAGUAUGGUCAGAACAAAGGGAAGCUUUACAAUGAAGAAUGUGAUCGGUUCAUGAUUUGCAUGGUUCACAAGCUUGGAUAUGGGAACUGGGAUGAGCUAAAGGCCGCAUUUCGUACAUCACCUUUGUUUCGUUUUGAUUGGUUUGUGAAGUCUCGCACAACUCAAGAACUUGCGAGGAGAUGUGAUACCCUUAUUCGGCUGGUGGAGAAGGAAAACCAAGAAUAUGAU
rnacentral:misc_RNA from 1 species